ACAUUUUAUGUACACGUAAACUUAUCUCAGUAAUUGUUUAAUGUUGCAUUUUCACCAAUGAUAACCUAACUUUUUACUUACAGGUAAUGUAAGAUUUAUAAUUCUCUACUUAAUGCAGUUAAAAUUAUUUUUCUUUCAUCCACACUCUUAAAAAGUACAUUUCUAUUGUCACAGGCACCAUUGGUCAUGUAGCCCAUGGAAAAUCAACAGUAGUAAAGGCCAUAUCUGGGGUUCAGACUGUCAGAUUUAAAAACGAGUUGGUCAGGAACAUUACCAUUAAACUAGGAUACGCUAAUGCAAAGAUAUAUAAAUGCAACAAUGAUUCGUGUCCACGUCCCGGUUGCUACAGAUCGUGUGGGAGUUCCAAGGAAGACAACUUCCCAUGUGACAGACCAGGAUGUUCUGGCCGAUUUCAGGUCCAACGGCAUGUAUCGUUUGUGGACUGUCCCGGUCACGACAUUCUUAUGGCCACCAUGUUGAACGGAGCUGCUGUCAUGGAUGCUGCAUUACUAUUAAUAGCUGGGAAUGAAUCAUGUCCCCAGCCCCAGACAUCUGAGCAUCUGGCAGCAGUGGAGAUCAUGAAACUGAAGCACAUCCUGAUCCUACAGAACAAGAUUGACCUGGUCAAGGAGAGCCAGGCCAAGGAGCAGUACGAGCAGAUCCUGGCCUUUGUCAAAGGAACCAUCGCAGAAGGAGCACCUAUUAUACCCAUCUCAGCUCAGCUGAAGUACAACAUAGAUGUCAUUUGUGAAUACAUUAUCAAAAAGAUCCCUGUGCCUCUCAGAGAUUUCACAUCAGAGCCCAGACUCAUUGUUAUAAGAUCUUUUGACGUCAACAAACCUGGAAGUGAGGUGGAUGACCUAAAAGGGGGCGUGGCUGGAGGAAGUAUUCUGAAGGGUGUACUAAAGGUAAGUGUACAGACAAUAUCGGGGUGGUAGAAAUAUAGCAGGGAAAAACCAUUUCCAUUUAUAUUCUUAACUUCAUGCAAUCUGUUGAUAAUCUGAAUGUUUUUCAGCUGCUUUUAUGUGUAGCUUUCAUUUAACGUAAUCUAUAGGACGCAAUGCUCACAUUGAAGUUUAUUUCUCACAUGCGUAUGCAAAAUGCUGCUAACUGUAUAUCAUUCUUUCAUUAAUAAAUGAUCGAAUAUCAUUGCAUGCAAAUGUACUGAGUACCGGUAAUGUAUUUUCAGGUUGGUCAAGAAAUUGAGGUAAGACCAGGUAUUGUGGCUAAAGACCAGGAUGGAAAAUGGGCGUGUAAACCCAUUAGGUCAAGGAUUCUGUCACUGCUGGCUGAACAGAACGAUUUACAGUAUGCUGUGCCUGGUGGACUAAUUGGUGUUGGCACAAAGAUUGACCCCAUGCUCUGCAGGGCUGACCGAAUGGUGGGACAGGUUCUAGGGGCAGUCAGUGCUUUACCGGACAUCUACACAGAAAUCACCAUUUCUUUCUUCUUACUCAGGAGACUCCUGGGAGUCAAGACAGAGGGGGACAAGAAGGGGGCUAAGGUCCAGAAAUUGUCAAAGAAUGAAGUGUUGAUGGUGAAUAUUGGCUCCUUAUCAACUGGAGGGCGUGUUAUUGCAGUAAAGGCCGAUUUAGCUAAGGUCGGACUAACUAAUCCUGUCUGUACAGAGAUUGGAGAAAAAAUAGCACUAAGUAGACGUGUAGAAAAACAUUGGAGAUUGAUUGGCUGGGGACAAAUUCGACAAGGGAUUAAAGUUAAUCCUAUUGGACAAGAUGACUGAUAUUCUGAUGCUAACAAUAAUUCUAUUACUUUGGACAACAAAAAGCAUUACAUGUAGCUUCAGGGAUGGCUUCACUUUGAUCCACUUUAUGUCCUCUGAAAUGACUUCAAAGCGAUUUGCGUAUGCCAUACUUCAGCUAAAAUUGACAGAAUCACAAUGUACUGCAUGGUGCAUUGUUAAGUUAUUUACUGGAACUCUUGAUAUAUCUGUUGUAAAAUACUGUAAAUGUAUUAAAAAUACAAAUGC
rnacentral:misc_RNA from 1 species